rnacentral:rRNA from 1 species
UACAGAGGGUGCGAGCGUUAAUCGGAAUUACUGGGCGUAAAGCGCGCGUAGGCGGCUUUGCAAGUCGGGUGUGAAAUCCCCAGGCUUAACCUGGGAACUGCAUUCGAGACUGCAUUGCUAGAGUAUGGGAGAGGGAAGUGGAAUUUCCGGUGUAGCGGCGAAAUGCGUAGAUAUCGGAAGGAACAUCAGUGGCGAAAGCGACUUCCUGGACCAAUACUGACGCUCAUGUGCGAAAGCGUGGGGAGCAAACAGG